UAGCCUUUUUUCAGGAACUCUGUACACCCUGAAAACAUGACAAACAAGGCUAACAGCUCACACACAAUACCUGUUGAAGCCAGCCAGAUCUCUAUUUCCUUAGAGCCCCCCGGCUAGUCCUGUCCUCUGGGGGGCAGGGGUGGCAAUCCUGAAGGCCUUAGGCUGCUGCAGCCUCCUCUGUCCAGUAAAACAAUAAAACCCUGGUUGUUUUGCAUCCCAGACUCUAUCUUCGCAUUACCAGUUCCAGCUCUGGAGCACAGAGGUCGACAUUCGACAACAAGUUCACGCAGUAGGAGUGAAAAGAAAGUCAUCAAAGAGAUUAGAUUACUUGAUGAAGCAUCCUAUCUCAGUCAUAUUUUAAUCCUUCUGAUUUUCCAGCUAAUUAAGGUUUAACAGUCUGGUGGAACCAAUUCAAACCCAUUUCCAUUCCCGGGACCCACCUCCAAAGUAACUCCAGUCAACUAUUUGGCCAACAGGACUUCAAGCAUUUUCCGUGCACAUGGCAACUACCAUUCAGCGAACACCUGUGAUAUGUCAAGUCCAAGUGUACAAACUCUUCAUCUGUAUCAAUCCAGCUGCUGCUUUACACCUUCUCUAGGAGACCACUGAUACCAAGUGCUGCUUGUAGCUGCCUCAUCAUGUGAUCUAGACACAGCACAACGACAAGGAGGGGGUCAGUGGCUGGACGUCACUCCUAAUUAAGGACAGAAGGAAAAGCCUGGCACUAAGCAGCAAAGACAGCACAAAAAUUGUUCAAGGGCCUGGAGGCAUCCAGUGGGAGAGAGAAAGGGCAUUUCUUGGUGACCAGGUGCUCACGGUCUACUUUACCGCAAUAAGCAAGACACCCUACCAAACCAUCAGCCUGGAUUGAGUCCAACAGUACCAAGCAUGGAUUAAUGGAGCAAAAGGAACACAGUUCCAUGUGGAACUCCAGAUUAUAAAGAUGACAAGUCACAGCUUAAGUGACAGGCUAAGUCCCGGGCCCAGCUCAAAGAACUAGUAUCUUAUGAUGUGUCGGGCAACACCUAUCUGUUACCUAUGUGUAAACAUCACAUACCCCUUUCUAGAUCAUCUCAUUACCUCAAAGAUCUCACUCUUGCAUAAGGAAAGCAUUAAUAUGUCCCUGUUUUACAGCUUGAAAAACAGAAAUUCAGACACUGACUUGCCCAAAGGCCCAAAGCCACUAAGCCAACCCAAGUCUGACUGACCCUGAAGCUGUGUGCCCCAUGUGUGCCCAGAGGGUGGGCCACUACCUCGCAGGGCUGGUACUUCUGAACCCACUCCCAGGGCCCUUGAGCAGAGAGCACGCUCUAGUGGAUCCCCAGGGCUGACGCUGAAGAGCUGGCAGCACCCAUCAGGAGCAGGGGCAGUCCCACAGGCCAUUUGGGGCACUGGGACCACAUCUUACCAGUUCAUUUUGGAAACUGCGUAACUAAAGCAGCCAGGGACAACAUCAAAAAGACUGAUCAAGUACUGACUAUUGGGAAGGUUCUAACCUUAAAAUUGUUCCUUUCUGUUAAAAAGUUUAUUUCACAUGCCUUACAAAAUUAGAUUUUUAAAUCCAGCAUUAACUUGAAACUAACGUUCCUAACCCAACCCCAGCCUUCAGGUUUCCUUUUUUGAUUGGGAAACAACAGGAGUGGAGAAUGCAUCCAAACCCACUGGAUUCUCUCUCUUAAGGGAACUCCAAGCAGUGAAGGGCAGAAUAGAGGGAGGGUGUCCUAGGCACAGAGGUGGGAGUCAGCUCUGCAAGCCAGGCCCUCACCACCCCCACACACAUCUAGGGUCCUGUUGGGCAAUGAGGCACGCAAACGCCUCGAUUUUUCAAGAAAUUUAUUUUCUGGGGCGCCUGGGUGGUACAGUCCAUUCAGCACCCAGGUCUUGGUUUCAGCUGAGGUCAGGAUCUCAUGGCUUGUGGGUUUGAGCCCUACGUCAGCCUCCACGCUGACAGCAUGGAGCCUGCUUGGG